rnacentral:rRNA from 1 species
UACGUAGGGGGCAAGCGUUGUCCGGAUUUAUUGGGCGUAAAGAGCUCGUAGGCGGUUGGGUAAGUCGGGUGUGAAAACUCAGGGCUCAACUCUGAGACGCCACUCGAUACUGCCCUGACUCGAGUCCGGUAGGGGAGCGUGGAAUUCCCGGUGUAGCGGGUGAAAUGCGCAGAUAUCGGGAGGAACACCAGUGGCGAAGGCGGCGCUCUGGGCCGGAACUGACGCUGAGGAGCGAAAGCGUGGGUAGCAAACAGG